AGCAGCCGCGGUAAUUCCAGCUCCAAUAGCGUAUAUUAAAGUUGUUGCAGUUAAAAAGCUCGUAGUUGAAUUUCGGAACCGAUGGAUCGGUCACGCCAUUCGGUGUGUACUGGUUUAAUUGGUUCUCACCUUCUAAGGAACCGUGAUGUCAUUAAUUUGGUGUCGCGGGGAAUUAGGACUGUUACCUUGAAAAAAUUAGAGUGUUUAAAGCAAGCUCACGCUUGAAUACACUAGCAUGGAAUAAUGAAAUAGGACAUUGUAUUCUAUUUUGUUGGUUUCUAGGAUCGAUGUAAUGAUUAAUAGGGAUAGUUGGGGGCAUUAGUAUUCAAUUGUCAGAGGUGAAAUUCUUGGAUUUAUUGAAGACUAACUACUGCGAAAGCAUUUGCCAAGGAUGUUUUCAUUAAUCAAGAACGAAAGUUAGGGGAUCGAAGACGAUCAGAUACCGUCGUA
rnacentral:rRNA from 1 species